GUUCGAUUCUGGCUCAGAUUGAACGCUGGCGGGAUCUUUACACAUGCAAGUCGAACGGCGACACGGACUUCGGUCUGGUGGCGAGUGGCGAACGGGUGAGUAAUGUAUCGGAACGUGCUAGUAGCGGGGGAUAACUACGCGAAAGCGUAGCUAAUGCCGCAUACGCCCUUCGGGGGAAAGCGGGGGACCUUCGGGCCUCGCACUUUAUUAGAGCGGCCGAUAUCGGGAUUAGCUAGUUGGUGGGGUAACGGCUCGCAGGCGGCGAUCCGUAGCUGGUUUGAGAGGACGACCAGCCACUG
rnacentral:misc_RNA from 1 species